rnacentral:lncRNA from 1 species
AUGGCUUAUUUCAGGUCCCGUGUAGGUAUAUUUUUGUCAUAAUUUAUUCCACCUGUGUCUGUCAGUUCCUUUCCCCUUGCCGCCUCCCGUGACAUUUUGGCUCAUGUUUCUUCAUAAGCUCUGAGCCAGUUAUUAAUAACAGCCCAGUGACUUUGUGAUCCACAAGGAACAUAUGGUGUUUUUCACAAGAGAGAGCUCAUUCUCUCGACUUUGGACUUCACUUACAGAACCCUCAAAGAGCCAAGGUUGCUAAGAGACCACCUGUGCCGCAUGCACUUUGGUCUCCAACAGCAGACCCAGCAAAGACCGAGGAGCUGUCACCUCCCACCACCUGGGAUUCAUUCAGGCAACAGGAGUAUUCUGAAUAUGACUGGCAAAAACUGGAUAUUAAUUUCUACGACCACUCCCCAAAGUUUAGAAGAUGAAAUUGUGGGAAGACUUCUAAAAAUCUUGUUUGUUUUAUUUGUUGACUUAAUGUCUAUUGUGUAUGUUGUUAUAACUUCUUAGAAAGCAUUUUUUACUUUCCAUAUACAUUUCAAAUUGAAUCCCAGUGAAUAAAAAUGUGUAUUUUAAUUUGCUGAGUGAUGUUAAUUUGAUAUUAUAAAUUUACUGUAACAAGGCAUUAUAGUAGAAAUAAUCUUGUAUAUUACUUAGCACUUUAUGGUUUAUAUUUAAUGUUCAAGGAUCUACACUACUGAAUCACAAAAUUUAUUUUUUAAAACAUUACUAUUUAAUAUACUGACUAAAAUUUGCAGGUGAAAUUAUGAGUGAAAUUGAUUUUUA